UUCCAGACUCCUACGGGAGGCAGCAGUGGGGAAUAUUGCGCAAUGGGCGAAAGCCUGACGCAGCGACGCCGCGUGAAGGAAGAAGGCUUUCGGGUUGUAAACUUCUUUUCUCAGGGACGAAGCAAGUGACGGUACCUGAGGAAUAAGCCACGGCUAACUACGUGCCGGCAGCCGCGGUAAUACGUAGGUGGCAAGCGUUAUCCGGAAUUACUGGGUGUAAAGGGUGAGUAGGCGGCAUGGUAAGCCAGAUGUGAAAGCCUUGGGCUUAACCCGAGGAUUGCAUUUGGAACUAUCAAGCUAGAGUACAGGAGAGGAAAGCGGAAUUCCUAGUGUAGCGGUGAAAUGCGUAGAUAUUAGGAAGAACACCAGUGGCGAAGGCGGCUUUCUGGACUGAAACUGACGCUGAGGCACGAAAGCGUGGGGAGCGAACAGGAUUAGAUACCCCUGUACC
rnacentral:rRNA from 1 species